GAGACACGGUCCAAACUCCUACGGGAGGCAGCAGUGAGGAAUAUUGGUCAAUGGGCGAGAGCCUGAACCAGCCGAGUAGCGUGCAGGAUGACGGCCCUAUGGGUUGUAAACUGCUUUUAUAAGGGAAUAAAGUGAGCCUCGUGAGGCUUUUUGCAUGUACCUUAUGAAUAAGGACCGGCUAAUUCCGUGCCAGCAGCCGCGGUAAUACGGAAGGUCCGGGCGUUAUCCGGAUUUAUUGGGUUUAAAGGGAGCGUAGGCCGGAGAUUAAGCGUGUUGUGAAAUGUAGACGCUCAACGUCUGCACUGCAGCGCGAACUGGUUUCCUUGAGUACGCACAAAGUGGGCGGAAUUCGUGGUGUAGCGGUGAAAUGCUUAGAUAUCACGAAGAACUCCGAUUGCGAAGGCAGCUCACUGGAGCGCAACUGACGCUGAAGCUCGAAAGUGCGGGUAUCGAACAGGAUUAGAUACCCUGGUAGUCCGCACGGUAAACGAUGGAUGCCCGCUGUUGGUCUGAAUAGGUCAGCGGCCAAGCGAAAGCAUUAAGCAUCCCACCUGGGGAGUACGCCGGCAACGGUGCAACUCAAAUGAAUUG
rnacentral:rRNA from 1 species